rnacentral:rRNA from 1 species
GACGAACGCUGGCGGCGUGCUUAACACAUGCAAGUCGAACGGAAAGGCCCUGCUUUUGUGGGGUGCUCGAGUGGCGAACGGGUGAGUAACACGUGAGUAACCUGCCCUUGACUUUGGGAUAACUUCAGGAAACUGGGGCUAAUACCGGAUAGGUGCUCCUGCUGCAUGGUGGGGGUUGGAAAGUUUCGGCGGUUGGGGAUGGACUCGCGGCUUAUCAGCUUGUUGGUGGGGUAGUGGCUUACCAAGGCUUUGACGGGUAGCCGGCCUGAGAGGGUGACCGGCCACAUUGGGACUGAGAUACGGCCCAGACUCCUACGGGAGGCAGCAGUGGGGAAUAUUGCACAAUGGGCGGAAGCCUGAUGCAGCAACGCCGCGUGCGGGAUGACGGCCUUCGGGUUGUAAACCGCUUCCGCCUGUGACGAAGCGUGAGUGACGGUAAUGGGUAAAGAAGCACCGGCUAACUACGUGCCAGCAGCCGCGGUGAUACGUAGGGUGCGAGCGUUGUCCGGAUUUAUUGGGCGUAAAGGGCUCGUAGGUGGUUGAUCGCGUCGGAAGUGUAAUCUUGGGGCUUAACCCUGAGCGUGCUUUCGAUACGGGUUGACUUGAGGAAGGUAGGGGAGAAUGGAAUUCCUGGUGGAGCGGUGGAGUGCGCAGAUAUCAGGAGGAACACCAGUGGCGAAGGCGGUUCUCUGGGCCUUUCCUGACGCUGAGGAGCGAAAGCGUGGGGAGCGAACAGGCUUAGAUACCCUGGUAGUCCACGCUGUAAACGGUGGGUACUAGGUGUGGGGUCCAUUCCACGGGUUCCGUGCCGUAGCUAACGCUUUAAGUACCCCGCCUGGGGAGUACGGCCGCAAGGCUAAAACUCAAAGGAAUUGACGGGGCCCCGCACAAGCGGCGGAGCAUGCGGAUUAAUUCGAUGCAACGCGUAGAACCUUACCUGGGUUUGACAUGGAUCGGGAGUGCUCAGAGAUGGGUGUGCCUCUUUUGGGGUCGGUUCACAGGUGGUGCAUGGCUGUCGUCAGCUCGUGUCGUGAGAUGUUGGGUUAAGUCCCGCAACGAGCGCAACCCUUGUUCACUGUUGCCAGCACGUUAUGGUGGGGACUCAGUGGAGACCGCCGGGGUCAACUCGGAGGAAGGUGGGGAUGACGUCAAGUCAUCAUGCCCCUUAUGUCCAGGGCUUCACGCAUGCUACAAUGGCUGGUACAGAGAGUGGCGAGCCUGUGAGGGUGAGCGAAUCUCGGAAAGCCGGUCUCAGUUCGGAUUGGGGUCUGCAACUCGACCUCAUGAAGUCGGAGUCGCUAGUAAUCGCAGAUCAGCAACGCUGCGGUGAAUACGUUCCCGGGGCU